AGUGAACGCUGGCGGUAGGCCUAACACAUGCAAGUCGAACGGCAGCACAGUAAGAGCUUGCUCUUACGGGUGGCGAGUGGCGGACGGGUGAGGAAUACAUCGGAAUCUACUUUUUCGUGGGGGAUAACGUAGGGAAACUUACGCUAAUACCGCAUACGACCUACGGGUGAAAGCAGGGGAUCUUCGGACCUUGCGCGAUUGAAUGAGCCGAUGUCGGAUUAGCUAGUUGGCGGGGUAAAGGCCCACCAAGGCGACGAUCCGUAGCUGGUCUGAGAGGAUGAUCAGCCACACUGGAACUGAGACACGGUCCAGACUCCUACGGGAGGCAGCAGUGGGGAAUAUUGGACAAUGGGCGCAAGCCUGAUCCAGCCAUACCGCGUGGGUCAAGAAGGCCUUCGGGUUGUAAAGCCCUUUUGUUGGGAAAGAAAAGCGGCAGGUUAAUACCCCGCUGUUCUGACGGUACCCAAAGAAUAAGCACCGGCUAACUUCGUG
rnacentral:rRNA from 1 species